rnacentral:precursor_RNA from 11 species
CUCCUCCUAUCGGUACGGUAUUUGGCGGCAAGAAAGACAUGGGUAGUGAGAUAGUUUCACCCUAUUGCACUGGGAUCUCACUACCUUGUCUUUCAUGCUGAUGAAUACAUAAUUUUGCGCGAAAGCG